GCUUGUGUGGCUCAGGGGUAGAGCAGCUCACUCGUAAUGAGCAGGUCGUCGGUUCAAUUCCGACCACAAGCUCCA
rnacentral:tRNA from 2 species